rnacentral:rRNA from 1 species
CCUACGGGAGGCAGCAGUGGGGAAUUUUGGACAAUGGGGGAAACCCUGAUCCAGCCAUUCCGCGUGAGUGAAGAAGGCCUUCGGGUUGUAAAGCUCUUUUGUCCGGAGCGCGGUACCGGAAGAAUAAGCACCGGCUAACUACGUGCCAGCAGCCGCGGUAAUACGUAGGGUGCGAGCGUUAAUCGGAAUUACUGGGCGUAAAGCGUGCGCAGGCGGGCUUUUAAGCCAGACGUGAAAUCCCCGGGCUUAACCUGGGAAUGGCGUUUGGGACUGGAAGUCUGGAGUGCGGCAGAGGAGACUGGAAUUCCUGGUGUAGCAGUGAAAUGCGUAGAUAUCAGGAGGAACACCGAUGGCGAAGGCAGGUCUCUGGGCUGAACUGACGCUCAUGCACGAAAGCGUGGGGAGCAAACAGGAUUAGAUACCCUUGUAGUC